rnacentral:rRNA from 1 species
AGAGUUUGAUCCUGGCUCAGAACGAACGUUGGCGGCGUGGAUUAGGCAUGCAAGUCGAGCGAAUCCCCGCAGGGGGGGAAGCGGCGAAAGGGGCAGUAAGGCAUGGGUAACCUACCCUGGGGACUGGGAUAGCCCUUCGAGAGAAGGGGUAAUACCGGGCGAUGUGCCGGGCCGGCAUCGGUCAGUCACCAAAUGAGUUUCGCCCUGGGAGGGGCCCAUGUGAUAUUAGCUAGUUGGUGAGGUAACGGCUCACCAAGGCGAAGAUGUCUAGCGGGUGUGAGAGCACGACCCGCGCCACUGGCACUGAGACACUGGCCAGACACCUACGGGUGGCUGCAGUCGAGGAUCUUCGGCAAUGGGCGCAAGCCUGACCGAGCGACGCCGCGUGUGCGAUGAAGGCCUUCGGGUUGUAAAGCACUGUCGAGAGGGAGAAAAGCGAAAGCUUGAUCUAUCUCUGAGAAGC